rnacentral:rRNA from 1 species
GUGGGGAAUCUUGCGCAAUGGGCGAAAGCCUGACGCAGCAACGCCGCGUGCGGGAUGAAGGCCUUCGGGCUGUAAACCGCUUUCAGCAGGAACGAAAAUGACGGUACCUGCAGAAGAAGGAGCGGCCAACUACGUGCCAGCAGCCGCGGUGACACGUAGGCUCCAAGCGUUGUCCGGAUUUAUUGGGCGUAAAGAGCUCGUAGGCGGUCUAGUAAGUCGGGUGUGAAAACUCUGGGCUUAACCCAGAGACGCCAUCCGAUACUGUUAUGACUUGAGUUCAGGAGGGGAGCGGGGAAUUCCUAGUGUAGCGGUGAAAUGCGCAGAUAUUAGGAGGAACACCGGUGGCGAAGGCGCCGCUCUGGACUGAAACUGACGCUGAGGAGCGAAAGCAUGGGUAGCAAACAGGAUUAGAUACCCUGGUAGUCCAUGCCGUAAACGGUGGGCACUAGGUGUGGGUUUCAACUAACGAAAUCCGCGCCGUCGCUAACGCAUUAAGUGCCCCGCCUGGGGAGUACGGUCGCAAGAC